UGUUUAAAAGUAUUAAAUUCAGUGCAAUGUGAACCAUCGUCUUUAUAACUCUGCUGAGCCAUUAGAUUUGGUGAAUUAUAUUAUUCUCUACCACCCACUCAAAAUCACUAGCAAUAGAGAAAAGUAGUGAAUAACAAAGGCAUCGAUCAUAAAAGCCUUUGGUACUGAUUUUCGUACUUAUUUCGUUCCAUGAAGCACUCUCGAAGUCAUGGGUCAGAAAAGUUCAUCAUCUCCUAGAACAGGCUUGCUUUCGUGUUGGGGGUGUCUCAAAUUGAAGCUUCCUUGGACAAAAAGAACAAGCAGUUACAAACCUGUUGGUGGUUUUGGGUAUGACCCUUUAAGCUAUGCUCAAAACUUCGACGAGGGUUGCAUGGACGACGAGGAAGAACCUAAUUCACGUCGUAGGUUCUCGGCUAGAUAUGCUGCUCCCUCAAGUUCAACUAAAACUCUAGGAUAAGCUUGAAGCUUUUUGAGCGUGCAAAGGACACUAAUUUGCUUCACUGCUGUAUAAUCAAUUUGUUGUGACUUUGUAUCCAACAAGAGCAAGAGAGAUAAUUGGUACGGCUAUUCAUUGGCAUAACUUGGAAACUUUUGUUAGCUUAGUAUUUGCAAUGGUUACUUGUACUAUGUAGUGUAAUUUGUGUACUCUAUGAGGGGAAUGAUAUAUUGUAUCUUUUGGAGCUUGAGAGGUAUUCGUUUUCAAUCUUUUGGAGCUUA